UACGUAGGGGGCGAGCGUUGUCCGGAUUUAUUGGGCGGAAAGAGCUCGUAGGCGGCUUGGCAAGUCGGGUGUGAAACCUCCAGGCUCAACCUGGAGACGCCACUCGAUACUGCCAUGGCUAGAGUCCGGUAGGGGACCACGGAAUUCCUGGUGUAGCGGUGAAAUGCGCAGAUAUCAGGAGGAACACCGGUGGCGAAGGCGGUGGUCUGGGCCGGCACUGACGCUGAGGAGCGAAAGCGUGGGUAGCAAACAGG
rnacentral:rRNA from 1 species